AACGUAGGAGACAAACGUUAUCCGGAAUUACUGGGCGUAAAGGGCGCGUAGGCGGCUGCUCAAGUCGGGUGUGAAAGCCCGGGGCUCAACCCCGGAACGGCACCCGAGACUGGGCGGCUCGAGACCGGGAGAGGUGGGUGGAAUACCCAGUGUAGAGGUGAAAUUCGUAGAUAUUGGGUGGAACACCGGUGGCGAAAGCGGCUCACUGGCCCGGUUCUGACGCUGAGGCGCGAAAGCGUGGGGAGCAAACAGG
rnacentral:rRNA from 1 species